GUUAUUGCUCGAUGACUUUGCAACAUGCUAUUGCUGCCUGUGUUUUUGUCUCUUUCAGCCUUCACUGUAUAUGGCAUGCCGAUAGGUGGAGCCCUUUGUAGACAGGUUAUAAUUGCUAACUUCAACCAACUAUUUUUAUACUUAUUUUAAUAUUCAAUAAAAUCGGAAUAUGAUAACAACGAAAACGAAAUAUGAAAAAUUCAAAGAGGGUCCAAGAAAAAAGUCCAUAGACUAGACUACAACGAUUGAGAUAUUAUAAGCUACUUUAAUAUGUGCCAAUGAGUUUUGAACUUGAGUGCAAGACGACACGCACACUGCCUGGCCAAGCUGACUAACCCACAUAUACAAUGAGAUAGGACAUGACUUUGUUUCAAAGAAAUAAAAACGAUUAUUGAGCCUCCUACAUUAAGUUUUGGCUAAAUUCAUACUAGUUCAGUGAGUAUCUCCAUCUUAAAUAAGGAAGAUGAUUUUUACACUCUUUUUCACUUCCGCACACCCCUCCUUUUUCUAGUCCUUGGAUGGAACAAACCGAAGGAGAAUCAAAGACCAUAAUUAAAAAGGGUGUGUAAAAGGUGAAAAAUGGUGUGCAGAAAUCCAAACAUGACCAAAAAGAAAAGAAAACACUUCCUAUAAUGUUUCAGGGGAAGAAUAUACAAAUCGCAAGUUUUAGGCCCAGUAAUAUUUAAUACAUGACAAGAUAUAAUUCUGCAGCAUUUCACGUGAGGUUUUCUAUGUAAGAUAACAUCUAAACAUUCACGUUCAGUACUCAUCUGCAUUUUCUCACUAGUUUAGAUACUCAAAUUAUUCCAUGCUAGAUGGUUUCAAAUCGUAAAAGUAGAAGAAAAGCAAGAAGGUAAAACUCAACAAAUAGACAACAGCUGCUCAUCCUAACAUGAUACAAAAGCUUUUUGGCAUGUCUAAAGAUUGGUAAUGACAUUUUCGGUAACUGCACCCGGAAAGAGAUCAUCUUCAGAUAUUUCCCUCCAAAGGCCAGGGAUCAAAUGAUCCGAACUUUUAAAAUUUGAUCUAACGACCAAAAAUUAUUAUAGCUUUUAAAUUUUUUUACUAACUUCUAUAUUUGUUGUCGUUAGAUCAAAUUUUAACGGCCUGGAUCACUUGAUCCCUGGGCUUUGGAGGGAAAUAUCUGACACACCGACCAAUACGUCGGAACAGGGCGCAUCAACACCACCUUGAACAUUAGGAUCAUCCAUCUAGUUUCCAACUAAAAAACCAACAAAGUACCUUGCAUAACAUGUGAAAUCAUUCAUAUGCACACAUCCUAAGUUUAACCAAACAGCAAGUACAACACAUCAAUCCUCUGCAACAUUGGAUUGGCAAGCAUUGGCCGGAACCGGCUGUAGAACUAAGGUGAUGGAUGACACCAAAGUCUAAAAAUGACUAGGAAACCAGUGCAGCAUGCCCGUAUAAGGACGCAUCAUUUUGACACGGGGUUACGUAUAGAUGAUCAAUCACAGCAAUCUUACAUAAAGUAUGGUACCGUUAAGUUUGGUACCAUCACAUUGUAAAUUGCCGGACUUGCGUUCUUUUAUAACUAGGUAAGUCGAACGAUAACAACAUUGUUCCUCGGAUUACUCAGGAACCAAAUGAAACAUAUAUAAAGCUAAAAGCUUGAUGGGGGAAAUAGCAUCUAAAUCAAACAGAUUGUUCAUCACUCUCGUAGAUUUUCUCCGAACCGGAAAAGAAGCUAGUUGUAAAAUAUGCCGAACUCGUACUUGCACUUAUCAAAAACUGAGCAAUUAAUCAAUGUCAAUCUAUCUAGCUGCAAUCACUUGCUAUUAAUCAAACUUAAUUAGCACUAAUCCACAAGAAAUCAACAGAUUAGGGUUUUUAAUUUAUUAAAUUUCAUAAAUAAACCUGUUGCUCCUCAUUGUACUUUUAUCCUCCGGGGCUGCCUCUCCUUCUCAGUAGCUAAUCUGUACAUCCAAUACACCUAUCACGAUGAAAGAUCAGAUUUUAGACAGUAAUUAAAGCGAAAAAUCAAGAACAUGAAGGAAAUUAGAGAGUACCAGAGCGAGGACGUGAGCUACUAUUAGGAGAACCACCACGAACGGCACCGAUUCGAGGAACCAUGGCCGCAGAGACGCCGGCUGCGGAUUCGCCAUUCGAUGGAAACAGGGAGGUUUUAGAGAGAGAUAGAUGGGAGAAAGAGAUGGAGA
rnacentral:lncRNA from 1 species